UUAAGCGACUAAGCGUACACGGUGGAUGCCCUGGCAGUCAGAGGCGAUGAAGGACGUGCUAAUCUGCGAUAAGCGUCGGUAAGGUGAUAUGAACCGUUAUAACCGGCGAUUUCCGAAUGGGGAAACCCAGUGUGUUUCGACACACUAUCAUUAACUGAAUCCAUAGGUUAAUGAGGCGAACCGGGGGAACUGAAACAUCUAAGUACCCCGAGGAAAAGAAAUCAACCGAGAUUCCCCCAGUAGCGGCGAGCGAACGGGGAGCAGCCCAGAGCCUGAAUCAGUGUGUGUGUUAGUGGAAGCGUCUGGAAAGGCGCGCGAUACAGGGUGACAGCCCCGUACACAAAAAUGCACAUGCUGUGAGCUCGAUGAGUAGGGCGGGACACGUGGUAUCCUGUCUGAAUAUGGGGGGACCAUCCUCCAAGGCUAAAUACUCCUGACUGACCGAUAGUGAACCAGUACCGUGAGGGAAAGGCGAAAAGAACCCCGGCGAGGGGAGUGAAAAAGAACCUGAAACCGUGUACGUACAAGCAGUGGGAGCACGCUUAGGCGUGUGACUGCGUACCUUUUGUAUAAUGGGUCAGCGACUUAUAUUCUGUAGCAAGGUUAACCGAAUAGGGGAGCCGAAGGGAAACCGAGUCUUAACUGGGCGUUAAGUUGCAGGGUAUAGACCCGAAACCCGGUGAUCUAGCCAUGGGCAGGUUGAAGGUUGGGUAACACUAACUGGAGGACCGAACCGACUAAUGUUGAAAAAUUAGCGGAUGACUUGUGGCUGGGGGUGAAAGGCCAAUCAAACCGGGAGAUAGCUGGUUCUCCCCGAAAGCUAUUUAGGUAGCGCCUCGUGAAUUCAUCUCCGGGGGUAGAGCACUGUUUCGGCAAGGGGGUCAUCCCGACUUACCAACCCGAUGCAAACUGCGAAUACCGGAGAAUGUUAUCACGGGAGACACACGGCGGGUGCUAACGUCCGUCGUGAAGAGGGAAACAACCCAGACCGCCAGCUAAGGUCCCAAAGUCAUGGUUAAGUGGGAAACGAUGUGGGAAGGCCCAGACAGCCAGGAUGUUGGCUUAGAAGCAGCCAUCAUUUAAAGAAAGCGUAAUAGCUCACUGGUCGAGUCGGCCUGCGCGGAAGAUGUAACGGGGCUAAACCAUGCACCGAAGCUGCGGCAGCGACACUAUGUGUUGUUGGGUAGGGGAGCGUUCUGUAAGCCUGUGAAGGUGUGCUGUGAGGCAUGCUGGAGGUAUCAGAAGUGCGAAUGCUGACAUAAGUAACGAUAAAGCGGGUGAAAAGCCCGCUCGCCGGAAGACCAAGGGUUCCUGUCCAACGUUAAUCGGGGCAGGGUGAGUCGACCCCUAAGGCGAGGCCGAAAGGCGUAGUCGAUGGGAAACAGGUUAAUAUUCCUGUACUUGGUGUUACUGCGAAGGGGGGACGGAGAAGGCUAUGUUGGCCGGGCGACGGUUGUCCCGGUUUAAGCGUGUAGGCUGGUUUUCCAGGCAAAUCCGGAAAAUCAAGGCUGAGGCGUGAUGACGAGGCACUACGGUGCUGAAGCAACAAAUGCCCUGCUUCCAGGAAAAGCCUCUAAGCAUCAGGUAACAUCAAAUCGUACCCCAAACCGACACAGGUGGUCAGGUAGAGAAUACCAAGGCGCUUGAGAGAACUCGGGUGAAGGAACUAGGCAAAAUGGUGCCGUAACUUCGGGAGAAGGCACGCUGAUAUGUAGGUGAAGUCCCUCGCGGAUGGAGCUGAAAUCAGUCGAAGAUACCAGCUGGCUGCAACUGUUUAUUAAAAACACAGCACUGUGCAAACACGAAAGUGGACGUAUACGGUGUGACGCCUGCCCGGUGCCGGAAGGUUAAUUGAUGGGGUUAGCCGCAAGGCGAAGCUCUUGAUCGAAGCCCCGGUAAACGGCGGCCGUAACUAUAACGGUCCUAAGGUAGCGAAAUUCCUUGUCGGGUAAGUUCCGACCUGCACGAAUGGCGUAAUGAUGGCCAGGCUGUCUCCACCCGAGACUCAGUGAAAUUGAACUCGCUGUGAAGAUGCAGUGUACCCGCGGCAAGACGGAAAGACCCCGUGAACCUUUACUAUAGCUUGACACUGAACAUUGAGCCUUGAUGUGUAGGAUAGGUGGGAGGCUUUGAAGUGUGGACGCCAGUCUGCAUGGAGCCGACCUUGAAAUACCACCCUUUAAUGUUUGAUGUUCUAACGUGGACCCGUGAUCCGGGUUGCGGACAGUGUCUGGUGGGUAGUUUGACUGGGGCGGUCUCCUCCUAAAGAGUAACGGAGGAGCACGAAGGUUGGCUAAUCCUGGUCGGACAUCAGGAGGUUAGUGCAAUGGCAUAAGCCAGCUUGACUGCGAGCGUGACGGCGCGAGCAGGUGCGAAAGCAGGUCAUAGUGAUCCGGUGGUUCUGAAUGGAAGGGCCAUCGCUCAACGGAUAAAAGGUACUCCGGGGAUAACAGGCUGAUACCGCCCAAGAGUUCAUAUCGACGGCGGUGUUUGGCACCUCGAUGUCGGCUCAUCACAUCCUGGGGCUGAAGUAGGUCCCAAGGGUAUGGCUGUUCGCCAUUUAAAGUGGUACGCGAGCUGGGUUUAGAACGUCGUGAGACAGUUCGGUCCCUAUCUGCCGUGGGCGCUGGAGAACUGAGGGGGGCUGCUCCUAGUACGAGAGGACCGGAGUGGACGCAUCACUGGUGUUCGGGUUGUCAUGCCAAUGGCACUGCCCGGUAGCUAAAUGCGGAAGAGAUAAGUGCUGAAAGCAUCUAAGCACGAAACUUGCCCCGAGAUGAGUUCUCCCUGACCCUUUAAGGGUCCUGAAGGAACGUUGAAGACGACGACGUUGAUAGGCCGGGUGUGUAAGCGCAGCGAUGCGUUGAGCUAACCGGUACUAAUGAACCGUGAGGCUUAACCU
rnacentral:rRNA from 1 species